UAUCUUAUAGUUUAAUGGUAAAACAUAAUACUUCUAAUAUUAUAAUUUAGGUUCAAAUCCUAAUAGGAUAU
rnacentral:tRNA from 1 species